CAGGGUCGUGGGUUCGAGCCCCACGUUGGG
rnacentral:piRNA from 7 species